UACAGAGGGGGCAAGCGUUGUCCGGAAUUAUUGGGCGUAAAGCGCGCGCAGGCGGUCCUUUAAGUCUGAUGUGAAAGCCCACGGCUCAACCGUGGAGGGUCAUUGGAAACUGGGGGACUUGAGUACAGAAGAGAAGAGUGGAAUUCCACGUGUAGCGGUGAAAUGCGUAGAGAUGUGGAGGAACACCAGUGGCGAAGGCGACUCUUUGGUCUGUAACUGACGCUGAGGCGCGAAAGCGUGGGGAGCAAACAGG
rnacentral:rRNA from 1 species